UAACGUUUUUAAAUGAAUAAUUUCCUUAACUAGUCAUCGUUCUUUUCUUAAAUAAGAUAUUUUUUGAGUUGAUCAAUAGACUUUUCCUCUCUUUUCCUUUCCUAAUUUGAAAUUUUAUAUAGUUUAUAUACAUAGAAACUAUGUAGAAUUAUAGUGAAAAUACCGAUCGUUAUUUUUUACUUUUAUCAAAUCAAAAGUAAUUUAUUUGCCGUAAAGAGACAAUACAUACCUUGAAACAAAAUAAAGAUAAUAUAUUUAAUAUUUUAAAUUACAUCUUCUCCCGGCAAAAAGGUCUGUUCCGCGAUUUUCAGCAAUCGAUUCUCUUUAGCUACUAACAAAAGAAGCCAAAAGUGGGACAAACCCGUCAACUUAAAGUUAAUUAACAAGAAAACUAAAAAAAAACCUCAAAAAAAAUCAUCAAACUAAAUAAAUUAUUACAGAAAGAAUAACAACAGAUUUGCAUGAGUGUGCGCUAAAAAUGAAUAUAAGUAAUUAAUAUUUUAAUAUAUUUUUAUUUAUAGUAUAAUUUUUCCAUAAUAAUUAAUUAUAAGCCUGAUGCUAGAGUGAGACGGAGGAAACGACGAAUGGUGGUAGACGGUUGAUGGACGGUCCAGACAAUUUUUGAUAAUGUUUACUUGUAUGUAUUUUAGGUCAAAAAGCGAAUACGUGCUCCUUUAUUGUUAAAAAGACAAAGAGAAGAAAAACCAAAGACAAGAGUAAAACAAAAAUGUAUGUACCGGGUGUACAACUAAGAGAGGUCGCCGGCCAUAUCUGAGUAACUAAUCAUCGCACAGCGUAGGGAAAAAAAUAUUUCUGAUAAAAGCGGCAAGGAGAAUUUGCUGGAAAUUAUUUACAAAUGAAACGCUUGGUCUUAUACCACCUGUACACCUUGAGGGGAUGGAAUGAUUGGAUUUCAAAAUUAAAAGCCCGUAAAAUCUCUUUUUGUCCCAAGUCACAGGAAUGGAAAACCACAGAAAUGCCUUUUAAGGUUAAAAAUUCCGUGACGGGUCUGGUCUGGUGCGAAUCGCCCUUGUGCUGAUUUUUAUAAAAAUCUAGGCUGACAGCUUAUCCUGGAGGAAGAAACCAUCUUUGUGGUUGAUUGCGCAUCUGUCAAAAAACAAAUCAGCAUUGAUUUGAUUUUCGAUUUAGUAAUUCCGGCUUUUUUUAGUUGAGGAAAGACGACUAAAGAAACCUUGCUCAUUUUGUCCAUUGUCCGACACUAUUUUGGCACAGACAUUGAGCAUUGUUUAUCUUUAAUUAUCUGUGCCAGAGAAAAAGAUAAACCCUGGGUAAAAAAUUUACAAAUCUGAUCAAAGGACAACAUCACUAAUUGCAGCUGAAAAAAUGAGCAUCGGAACACGUGUUUUAUCAAGCUAGCCUCACUUGCAGUAUUGCUAAUUCAUUAUUUUUUCUGUCACACCUCGUGCCACCAUCUUUAAAAAAUAAAUUAACGUAUCUAAUUAACUAAUAUAAAUU